rnacentral:lncRNA from 1 species
AGAGGGGACCGGCUCUGGCACCUGUCCGCAACCCUCAUCCCAUGGGUCCGGCAUCCCCACAUCCCCGGGGGCAUCCUCACACCCCAAAGAGCAUCCUCACAUCCCCAGGGGCAUCCUCACAUCCCCGGGGGCAUCCCCACAUCCCGAGGAGCAUCCUCACACCCCAAAGAGCAUCCCCACAUCCCCAGGGGCAUCCUCACAUCCCCGGGGGCAUCCUCACACCCCCAGGGGCAUCCUCAGACCCCAAAGAGCAUCCUCACACCCCAAAGAGCAUCCCCACAUCCCCAGGGGCAUCCUCACACCCCAAAGAGCAUCCUCACAUCCCCAGGAGCAUCCCCACAUCCCGAGCAGCAUCCUCAGAUUCCGAGCACCAUCCCCACAUCCCGAGGAGCAUCCCAUCCUUUCAGCAUUCCCCAGAUCACUUCCAGCAACCUGUCUCCGGCACCUGUUCCCAACCCUCAUCCCGUGGGUCCGGCAUCCCCACACCCCGAGGGGCAUCCCCAUAUCCCGAGGAGCAUCCUCACAUCCCAAGGAGCAUCCUCACAUCCCAAGGAGCAUCCUCACAUCCCAAGGAGAUCCCCCACAUUCCGAGGAGCAUCCCCACAUCCCCAGGAGCAUCCUCAUAUCCCGAAGAACAUCCCCACAUCCCCAGGAACAUCCCCACAUCUCGAGGAGCAUUCCCAUAUCCCGAGGAGAUCUCUCACACCUCGAGGAGCAUCCCUCACAUCCCGAGGAGCAUCCCAUCCUUUCAGCAUUCCCCGGAUCAUUUCCAGCAUCCUGUCCCCGGCACCUAUCCCCAGCCCCCAUCCCAUGGGUCCAGCAUCCCCACAUCCCGAGCAGCAUCAUCACACCCCAAGGAGCAUCCUCACAUCCCCAGGAGCAUCCCCAUAUCCUGAGGAGCAUCCUCACAUCCCGAGGAGCCAUCCCCACAUCCCAUCCUUUCAGCACUCCCGGAUAAUUUCCAACAUCCCAGCGCCCCGUNNNNNNNNNNNNNNNNNNNNNNNNNNNNNNNNNNNNNNNNNNNNNNNNNN